UUACUAGAAAUGAAGAAAUAACUUUCCAAAAUGCUUUUAUUAUUUUGAAUCCUAUCACUGAAAUGUAAUUUCUAUUUAUAUUUCAUAUGUUUAUUCUAUUAAUGUUUCAUAUUACCAGAUGCUUACAUGUUAAAAUCUUAAUCUGAUGAUAUCUUAGUAUUUUUCCUAUAGAAGUCCUUGCAGAAAGUUUCCUUUACCAUGUCUAGAGAUGAGGAGAAAAAAGUAUAAAUAGAUGCCCCUCAUUCACCUCUGUUUCAUAGUUUGAAAACAGAUGCAUCAUAAGCUAUCCCUCUUUCAGCUUUAAUUCAAGCUGAACUGUUUUCCCCAAGCUAUAAGCCCAUGGCCACUCUCUGAAGCAACUUGCACAGCUCAAUACAAAAUAAACAAGAACUUUGUUUUGAUUUGUGUUUUGAGAGGGGGGGUGAGAUUAGUCUUAAUUUUGUCCCCUCAGAAACAAAUAUACAACAAAUAAGGUAAAUCUAAAUGUCGUUGAAGCCUAAAGAUGUAAGAAAUAAAACAGCUUGAAAUAUUAUAUCCAAAGAAUAAAAUGUUUAAAACAUCUGUUAGCUGAUUUUUACAUUUUCUCAUAAGUAACUACCUGUAAUUUAUCUUUAAGUAAUGAAAAUCAUAUUAAAUUUAGUUUCAUUUGUUUUGCCAUAAUGUUUUUAAAGUACUUUAUCAAAAAUUCUUUGCACUGAGAAAACAAGAUAAGCUAUUACUGGGUGCGAUUAAAAGUAGAAUAUAGUAAUUCAUUUUGCUUAAGAAGGAUGAUUUUAAAAGAUUGUCUUCUUAUGUUAUUCAUUUGCUUUUCUUUAGAUGCAAAAUUUUUGUGAAAAAGAAAAACUUAAGUUUCCCAAUAGAAGUAUACUCUGAAAAUGGCAUCCAUAAUUCUAUGAUGUUUGGGUUUUUUAAAAAACUUUCAGAACUUUUU
rnacentral:lncRNA from 10 species